AAUUAAACCCAGGAGAGACUCUCCUUGCGUCUGAAACAGUCCAGAAACGGCCUGCAACAAAUCCACAACCAAAAGCAACCUUGAAGCAAACUGGACAGGAAAAACCAGAAACAAACCGUCUCAAAGACGAAACCCUAAAAUACAAGCUAACCGUUAACUAUUCAAUCUCUCCGGUGAAAUCCUAUCUGCAGACGUCACAAAGCUGCCCACAAAAUCUCGUGCCGAUCGGAAAACAGACGAGACCACGAUCUCAGUUUCAAUCUUUGCUGGUCCUAAUUCGCGUCUGAGAAAACGUGUCUCACGAAACUGCAAAUAACUCAACCAAUUUUAAUCCAAAUUCAAUUCUGUAAACUGGAGAAUAACGAUAAAGGACUUGGGAAUAACUCUACCAAAUAUCGUUACCUUUUACCACGAUUUGAUAUGACGAAACUGAUUUCUCCCAAACCCUAACGAUUUCUGCUCCUUCUCCUUUUCUCUCUUUUUCUCUUUUAUAAAACGAAAAGUGGCUAACUAAAGCACUAAUUUCGAGUUUCCUUCUUUUAUAGGCACACUUUAGGGUUUC
rnacentral:sRNA from 1 species